rnacentral:rRNA from 1 species
GACGAACGCUGGCGGCGUGCUUAACACAUGCAAGUCGAACGGAAAGGCCUCUUUCGGGGGGUACUCGAGUGGCGAACGGGUGAGUAACACGUGUGUAACCUGCCCUUGUCUUUGGGAUAACUUCUGGAAACUGGGGCUAAUACCGGAUAGGAGCUCCUUCUGCAUUGUGGGGGUUGUAAAUUUUUUGCGGUUGGGGUUGGGAUCGCGGCUUAUCUGCUUGUUGGUGGGGUAGUGGCUUACCAAGGCUUUGACGGGUAUCCGGCCUGGGAGGGUGACCGGCCACAUUGGGACUGAGAUACGGGCCAGACUCAUACGGGAGGCAGAAGUGGGGAAAAGUGAAAAAUGGGUGGAAGCGUGAUGCAGCAACGCCGUGGGCGGGAUGACGGCCUUCGGGUUGUAAACCGCUUUCGCUCAUGACGAAGCUUUGUGUGACGGUAGUGGGUAAAGAAGCACCGGCUAACUACGUG